rnacentral:rRNA from 1 species
AGUGGCGAACGGGUGAGUAAUAUAUCGGAACGUGCCCAGUCUGGGGGGAGUAACGUAAGCGAAAGUUACGCUAAUACCGCAUACGAUCUACGGAUGAAANCGGGGGAUCGCAAGACCUCGCGCGAUUGGAGCGGCCGAUAUCAGAUUAGGUAGUUGGUGAGGUAAAGGGCUCACCAAGCCGACGAUCUGUAGCUGGUCUGAGAGGACGACCAGCCACACUGGGACUGAGACACGGCCCAGACUCCUACGGGAGGCAGCAGUGGGGAAUUUUGGACAAUGGGCGCAAGCCUGAUCCAGCAAUGCCGCGUGCAGGAUGAAGGCCUCCGGGUUGUAAACUGCUUUUGUACGGAACGAAACGGUGAGCUCUAAUACAGUUUGCUAAUGACGGUACCGUAAGAAUAAGCACCGGCUAACUACGUG